rnacentral:rRNA from 1 species
GACGAACGCUGGCGGCGUGCCUAACACAUGCAAGUCGAGCGAUGUAGUUUCCUUCGGGAAACGGAUUAGCGGCGGACGGGUGAGUAACACGUGGGUAACCUGCCUCAUAGAGGGGAAUAGCCUCCCGAAAGGGAGAUUAAUACCGCAUAAUAUUACAAUUUUGCAUGAAACAGUAAUUAAAGGAGCAAUCCGCUAGGAGAUGGACCCGCGGCGCAUUAGCUAGUUGGUGAGGUAACGGCUCACCAAGGCGACGAUGCGUAGCCGACCUGAGAGGGUGAUCGGCCACAUUGGGACUGAGACACGGCCCAGACUCCUACGGGAGGCAGCAGUGGGGAAUAUUGCACAAUGGGGGAAACCCUGAUGCAGCAACGCCGCGUGAGUGAUGACGGUCUUCGGAUUGUAAAGCUCUGUCUUUGGGGACGAUAAUGACGGUACCCAAGGAGGAAGCCACGGCUAACUACGUGCCAGCAGCCGCAGUAACAC